rnacentral:rRNA from 1 species
GACGAACGCUGGCGGCGUGCUUAACACAUGCAAGUCGAGCGGUAAGGCCCUUUCGGGGGUACACGAGCGGCGAACGGGUGAGUAACACGUGGGUGACCUGCCCUCAGCUCUGGGAUAAGCCUGGGAAACCGGGUCUAAUACCGGAUAUGACCCCAUGACGCAUGUUGUGGGGUGGAAAGCCUUGUGCGGCUGAGGAUGGGCCCGCGGCCUAUCAGCUUGUUGGGUGGGGUGAUGGCCACCAAGGCGACGACGGGUAGCCGGCCUGAGAGGGCGACCGGCCACACUGGGACUGAGACACGGCCCAGACUCCUACGGGAGGCAGCAGUGGGGAAUCUUGCGCAAUGGGCGAAAGCCUGACGCAGCGACGCCGCGUGA